CCGAACUCAAACCCGGCUUGUUCAUCUCAGCCAAACCAAAUCCCGAAUCAAAAUUGAACAUAUCCUUUAACCAGAGUUGGGAAAAUCCCAUAUUUCUUCAGCCUAAGCAUUGCAAUCAAGGUGUUCGACAGAAGCCCUAGAUGAAGAUAAUGAGGAAAAAGUGCGGAAUCUGCGUGGUUUGGUGAGGGAUCCUGAGAAAAUGUUCGGUAGGGUUGAUUGAAGGAGAGUGAUGGAGCAGAGGACGAGACGGCGACGGUGGUGGUGUGCGGUGGUGACGAGAGGAGAUGUCUGUGUGUUUGUAUAUGCGUAUGGGUAAUAUACGUGUGAGCGUUAAUUAGCAGGUUUGGAAAAAGGUUCGGAACACAAGGAAUUAAUUUGCUCGGGAGAACAACCUGUUCUCGUAUCUAUACUAUCUAUACUAUACUAUAAUAAGCCAACAUGGGUAUAAUUUGUAGUCCUACUUUUCCUUCACGUUUUUUGGUUUCGUCGUUUCUUUUUUCGUUACUGGACUAUUACACGGUCCUCUUAGAGUUCUAUUUCCGAGUGGACACUGGUUCUCCAAACUAAAGCAAGUACUAUAGAAAACAGAUACUUGAACCACCGCCCUCUUUCUUCCUCUCCGUCAGCCACAUACGACCAAGCGACUCUUUCUCCCAGCAGAGAUUAACUUUGCAGACAAGACCAAAUACUACUCAUAACACUUAACAGUCCACUAAUUAGCCCGCUGUAGAUACAGAAAAUAUAACAAAAACCCAUAUACAAAAACUCUUUAAAACCCCAAGAUUUUUGAAGAAUUGAAGAGAUGGGAGCUGAUAUACCCUAUUGUGGAACAGAGUUUGUGCUGUAUGUGUUUGCAAGUUUGGGUUUGGUAUUGCUUGCUGGGCUUAUGGCUGGCCUUACUCCUGGCCUUAUGUCUCUAAGAGAAUUGUGCAAACUAAGUAGGGCUUGUAUCGUCCCAACUGGAUCAUGCCAUUGUAGGUGGUGCAUGCCCGCUCUAGGCAACUUUGAGAAGAUGAGCUAAGAUAAGCACGUGUCAAAAUGUAAAUGAAGGUUCAACAGUCACCAAUCAAAUUGGAACCAAUAAUGUUGCCUCAUCCAUUUAUACCUGUCAUGUAUGUGCAGGAAAUCUUGUUAGUAUAGUGGUGACACUACAUUUAAAAAACAAAAAGAAUAAUCCGAGAAAGAAUACUCACUUUAGUUUACACAAUGAACACAUUAUUCUCUAUGCAUAUUUUAUUCCUCAUACUCUAGUCUCAAAAGCCCAAUUAUGACAUUGAUUUAGCUCAACACCACAAUGUUUUUAUUCAAAGCUAGUUGUAAUUACGCAAAUUAAUCACAUGUGUAAUAUUAAAAAGAAGAAAAAUUAAUCUUCUACAAGAGUACUUCGAUAUGCACUUAGUUGCAGGAGUGUGAGUAGCAUAUAAUUAAAAUCAUCAAACAAAUCAAUUAUUUCACGAGGCAAGCACACCUCGCAACCUUCUAUAUUCCCCAGAAUUACUCUAUUGAAUGUUACAACUCAAUUCAAUUUUAUAAUCAUGCCACGUAAAUCGAACAACCAAAUUUCUUUGGUGUAAACAUGUAACAGGACUACGGGAUACCUACAAGUCUAAUAUAAUAUCACUACUUUUCAGGCUCUAAAUACUAAAUUGACGAGGCACGAAGAAUACCUUAAAGGCAGUCUCAUUCUCCGCUAACAAUGAACAGUAAGAUAAGUAGCAUCUUCUUGCCUAGCCCACUCCCGAACAAGCACACCUUGCUUAUGCGCGGGAAGCUUUUUACACAACCAAGCCAGCUUCGAUCUCCUCCACUGUUCAGGAAGUUCCUCCAAUUCCUUAACCUCAACCGGCAAAGCCCCGAACUCAAACCCGGCUUGUUCAUCUCAGCCAAACCAAAUCCCGAAUCAAAAUUGAACAUAUCCUUUAACCAGAGUUGGGAAAAUCCCAUAUUUCUUCAGCCUAAGCAUUGCAAUCAAGGUGUUCGACAGAAGCCCUAGAUGAAGAUAAUGAGGAAAAAGUGCGGAAUCUGCGUGGUUUGGUGAGGGAUCCUGAGAAAAUGUUCGGUAGGGUUGAUUGAAGGAGAGUGAUGGAGCAGAGGACGAGACGGCGACGGUGGUGGUGUGCGGUGGUGACGAGAGGAGAUGUCUGUGUGUUUGUAUAUGCGUAUGGGUAAUAUACGUGUGAGCGUUAAUUAGCAGGUUUGGAAAAAGGUUCGGAACACAAGGAAUUAAUUUGCUCGGGAGAACAACCUGUUCUCGUAUCUAUACUAUCUAUACUAUACUAUAAUAAGCCAACAUGGGUAUAAUUUGUAGUCCUACUUUUCCUUCACGUUUUUUGGUUUCGUCGUUUCUUUUUUCGUUACUGGACUAUUACACGGUCCUCUUAG
rnacentral:lncRNA from 1 species